UACGUAGGGUGCGAGCGUUGUCCGGAAUUAUUGGGUUUAAAGGGUGCGUAGGCGGCUAUUUAAGUCAGUGGUGAAAUCCUGCAGCUCAACUGUAGAAUUGCCAUUGAUACUGGAUAGCUUGAGUACAGACGAGGUAGGCGGAAUUUAUGGUGUAGCGGUGAAAUGCAUAGAUACCAUAAAGAACCCCUACUGCGAAGGCAGCUUACUAGGCUGUAACUGACGCUGAGGCACGAAAGCGUGGGGAUCAAACAGG
rnacentral:rRNA from 1 species